rnacentral:rRNA from 1 species
AUUGAACGCUGGCGGCAUGCCUUACACAUGCAAGUCGAACGGUAACAGGUUAAGCUGACGAGUGGCGAACGGGUGAGUAAUGUAUCGGAACGUGCCCAGUCGUGGGGGAUAACUGCUCGAAAGAGCAGCUAAUACCGCAUACGACCUGAGGGUGAAAGCGGGGGAUCGCAAGACCUCGCGCGAUUGGAGCGGCCGAUAUCAGAUUAGGUAGUUGGUGAGGUAAAGGCUCAGCAAGCCGACGAUCUGUAGCUGGUCUGAGAGGACGACCAGCCACAAUGGGACUGAGACACGGCCCAGAUUCCUACGGGAGGCAGCAGUGGGGAAUUUUGGACAAUGGCGCAAGCCUGAUCCAGCCAUGCCGCGUGCGGGAAGAAGGCCUUCGGGUUGUAAACCGCUUUUGUCAGGGAAGAAAAGGUUCUGGCCAAUACCUGGGACUCAUGACGGUACCUGAAGAAUAAGCACCGGCUAACUACGUGCCAGCCGCCGCCGUAAGAC